UGCUGCCCAUGUCAACAAGGAAUUCACGUUCCUCUUUAAUAGCAACAUUUCCAUGGGUUGGAUAAGUCUAGGGACAUUUGUUAUCUCCGUCUCGUUUUUGCUAUUCAAGCAUCCUCUAGCAACGUGGAGCCUUGCUCCGUUGUACAAUUUGCUUCGAAUUAGACCCGCUACACCGGAUAUUCCUUCAUCACAAGCCCCACAACCUAUUCGAUCGGAAGCUUCUGGGUUGGAUGAGGAAGCAUCGAAGGAUGGCGAACACCGAUCAGAUUCGCAACUCGAAGACUCAACUCCAAAAGCGACUCCGGAGCAGCUCCCGUUAGUGGACGUGCCAACUUUCAAUUUAGAAUGCCCCGCUGUGGUCGAUGAAAGACUAGAUAUCUCGUUGAACUCCAGCAAUACCAUAAGCCUCUCGCAAAACCGUUCCCCAUCCUCAACUACUCCCAGUCAACCCUCACCAUCCCCCACGACGAGCAAUGCCUCCAAAAAAACUACUCUUACGCGCCCACUACCCCCGCCGACACUAAGAAACCAAAACCAAAAUGCAUCCAUAGCAUCCAGGACGGGUACCAUGUUACCUCCUCCACGACCUUCUUUAAACACCCCACUCCGUCCUCCACUAUCCGCAGCCUCUACCCUCCGUGGGCCCCUACUACGAGGCCUCACAUCUAGCACACUCGCGCCAAUCCAAGUCCAAGGCAAACCACAGCCAUCUCGCCAAGUGGCACUUGAACCAGGCCGCUCACCUCUCGACUGGGCAGCAUUAACUUCCCAACCCAACCAUAAGCUGCGAGGGGAAAAUCUUCCACCGACACUCAUUCGUGUAACGCCGUCGAUGUUGAAGGCACAUAAUGGAAGGAAAGGGCGAGACGCGUGGACAUCCUACAUGGGUAAAGUUUACAACAUAACUCCCUACCUCCCGUUCCAUCCGGGCGGGAAGGGAGAGAUACUUCGCGGGGCAGGGAAGGAUUCCGAGAAGCAUUUUAAGGAGAUUCAUCCGUGGGUUAAUUGGGAUGGGAUGUUGGCGGAAUGUAUGGUUGGAAUACUGGUGAGCGAAGGCUAUGAAGUGGGCGGUGGAGGCGGAAGUUUGGAAGCAAUGGAUUGAUCACGCAAUAGCGCUUCUAGACGCCUUUUUUUCUCUACUUUUUCUACUGAGGCCUUUGUAGAUAAAUUGGUCCAGGAUUUUCUUUACACAUUGUUUUAACCGAGGUUUCUUGAAGGGUUGUUGUUGAGUCUUGCAUCCAUUUCGCUAUAUACAGCACAUACCUGUACAUGAUGCAUACACAUUAAAGCGUUUAACAGUAACCAUCACAGAAGAAUAAUCAUGAUCGUUGUAGAAUAUAGAAUUCGCAAAUAGCUGCUCCAAUGAAAGAGGACAUAGCUCUUAAGCAGACGUCGCAGGCGUAUGCUCUACGCCCGGCGGCCGGACAACCCGCAAAACCCAUUCCGUCUCCAGUAGGCAUAUCCUCCCCCGAGCACAAGAAAUAUCAGGAACCACAGGUACACGGUACCACCAUUACCACCCUUACCACCACCACGGUUUUCGAGGCCAGGUCCUACAGAAACGUGUAAAAAUCCGCAGAAUAAGCAUUCGCCUUGCUUGUUGUCUACCCGCGGGAUCCAGAGAUACAGACAGAGAUAUUGCUUGGACGGGCAGAAGCACAGAUGGCCAA
rnacentral:sRNA from 1 species